rnacentral:rRNA from 1 species
GACGAACGCUGGCGGCGUGCUUAACACAUGCAAGUCGAACGGAAAGGCCCUGCUUUUGUGGGGUGCUCGAGUGGCGAACGGGUGAGUAACACGUGAGUAACCUGUCCUUGACUUUGGGAUAACUUCAGGAAACUGGGGCUCAUACCGGAUAGGAGCUCCUGCUGCAUGGUGGGGGUUGGUAAGUUUCGGCGGUUGGGGAUGGACUCGCGGCUUAUCAGCUUGUUGGUGGGGUAGUGGCUUACCAAGGCUUUGACGGGUAGCCGGCCUGAGAGGGUGACCGGCCACAUUGGGACUGAGAGACGGCCCAGACUCCUACGGGAGGCAGCAGUGGAGAGUAUUGCACAAUGGGCGGAAGCCUGAGGCAGCAACGCCGCGUGCGGGAAGACGUCCUUCGGGUUGUAAACCGCUUUCGCCUGUGACGAAGCGGGAGUGACGGUAAUGGGUAAAGAAGCACCGGCUAACUACGUG